rnacentral:lncRNA from 1 species
AAAAAGUGGAACUAAUAUUUUUUUUUGCUCAAUUUUUAAGAGUGACUAAAAUACUUGAUUUUGAGAAAAAUGUCAGCCAUGGUAGAAGUAUGGAUUGGGGAAUUAGCCAAGCUCAAAGAAAAAGUUAUGACCAAAAAGAUAAAAGAUGGUUUAGAAGAAGAGAAAGAAGUCGGAAUGCAAUCUCAAAAGGAGAUCAUAGCUGUUCAUAGAGACACUGCAACUAUUUCAGAGUCAACAAUAUGUUUGCUUAUGGAUAGAUUUGUGCCCUGCUAAUAUAUGCUUAAUUAUUAGGUGCUCAAAUAUCUUGUUAAUUCAAUGAUUUGGUUCCUAGACAAGAAAAUUUGUAAUAAAAUGUUCUAUAUUAUUGUUAAUAAAAUGUUUUUUACUUUAGUGUUAAUAUUAUUGUAGUUGUUGUUAGUCAUUUAUAAUGUAAUUUGUUGUUUAAUUGCUAGAAAAAUAAAAAAAUUGGAUGGUUUGAUUACAAUUAUUAAAGCAAUAAACUAUUUAGUUGAAAUAAUUUGCGUAUAUUUUUUUCAAAUUUUUUGGGUUAUUAUUAUUUGCAAGUUCGCUUUAUGAACUUCUUUGACAUGGUUUUGCAGGAAAUUAAAUACCCUUUCUAGUUUCUUCCUUGAACCCAAAAAAGAAGAUAUUGUAAUUUGUGAAGUAAUUUCACUCUCAUUGUUAAGUAGUGUAAGACAAAGCUUUUAUUUAAACUAAGAAAAUGAGCCCCAAAAUUUAUGUGUUCCACAAUAGAAUAAUUUUUUAUUUUAUUUAUAUAAGUACAACUCAAUUGAUAGUUAAAUAGAAACUUAAUAUGUUAAAUUGUGGAUUUAAAUGUGUGAUUCUCCACGGUUAAAUAAGAAUUGUCUCCUGAUGUUUAUCCUCUUUCUUUGCUUAUAUAAAAAAAAAUGUUUUGAAUUUGUGUUGGAAAAAAAUCCUGCAUUAGAUAAAGGAUAAGCAAAAAACUUUAGUUUUGUUUGAAAACAAAAAAACAUCGGUGUCCUGGUAAGCUUAGUUCAGUUGCGUAAACUAUUCAAAUCGAACCCAGGCCAACCAAAAAAAAAAAAAAACAUCGCCAACUUUUGCUGUUGUUGCUGGUUGAUUCCUGUUAAUAUAGCUUCUACCUCUUCUUUUCUUCGAAAGAAUAGCUUCUACCUUUAAUUAAUUGUUUAACGCAGAUUCCCUUCUAACAGUUCUUUUUUUUUUUUUUGAAGUUCUACCAAUGGCUUAAGAAAAUUAACAUUGUUUGUGAACAAUUGCGACCAAAAAAUAAUCCAAGAUCGACAAUUUAAAAAAAAAAUUACAUAAUCAAAUUAACAAUGUUUUAGAAAGAUGAAAGUGAGUGUAAAUUAGUGAGGUGUGUGUAAACAAUUUGAUAAAAUUUAUAAAAAUGAGUGCAAAUAAUCAAAUGGGUGUAAGUUGGUAACUUGCACCUUAAUGAUUUUAGGUGGGUGUAACUUGCUAAUUUACACCUUAGUGUUUUUAGGUGGGUGUAAAUUAGCAGCCCUCUAUAAAUAAAGACCUUGUGUGUUAGUAUUUCUUGUACCAAUAGUUAGUAGGAUUUGCUAGAGCUGGUAUUACCUCUACUAUUCAAUAUCUUGUUAUAGCCGGUAUUACCUCUACUAUUCAAUAUUUAUUUUUUUUGAGCAAAGGAAAGUUAAUGCAUUUCAUUCAUAAUCAAAGAAUACAAAGUAAGCGGUACAUUAUAGAAAAUAUGGGGGCUAGAUUGGGAAUAGGAUGCUCUAGCUAUGUUGUGAGCGACCCUAUUUGCUUGCCUCCGAACAUACGACAAUACAAAGUCGGAAUUACUAAACAAUAAAUCUCUACACUGUGAUACAAUGUUGCCAAACUCGUUAAGGUAAACAAAAGAAGAGUUGAUGGCAUCAACGAGAAUCUUAUUGUCCGUUUCAAACAUGACAUCAUGGUAGCCAGCUGAAAUUGACGUGUGUAAUGCGUCAAGCAUAGCAACAGCUUCAGCUUCUAGGACAGAACCAAAUGAUUGCAGAAGAGCUGAUUUCCCCAUUAACAAUUGGCCCCUAAAGUUUCGAAAGCACAUUCCAAAACCUGUUACAGUGUUAUGGCUGAAAGUUGCGGCAUCGAUGUUACACUUUAGGACACCUUCUGGAGGCUUCUUCCAAGAGAUUAUGUGGUCCUGAUUUUGAGGUUGAGGUCUAGCUCGUUGCAUACAUCUCCAUUCGUGAAGUGUAUCCUUCGCUCUAGAAACAGUUGAAGCAGUAGUAGUGUCUAAAGAAUCCCACAACUUUAUGUUACGACUCUUCCACAAACUCCAAAGUAACAUUGCGGCUGCAUGUUGUUGAUAUGAGGGUAACCUGUCAAGAAAAUCAAACAACAUAGUAGUAAAAUCAUUAGCCCGGUGCAGCAGCUCGCGAAUAUGGUUUCCCAAAUUAAUACGAUCCCAACAGUCCAUAGCUUUAGUGCACACAAAGAAUAGAUGCAUGUGUGAUUCUGCCAAUGAUUCACACAUCACACACGUAUCAUCGCAUGAUAUACCCCUGGUGGUGAGAUUAACACGGGUAGGAAGGCAUUGAUGAGCAAGACGCCAAAGGAAGGAACAAACACGUGGUGGAAUUUUCAUGUUCCAGAGAGUCAUGGGGGAUUAGAUGGCGCAUGAGUGGAUGAAUGUAGAAGAUCAGCGCAAAUGCGAUAAGCGGACUUUACGGUGUAUUUUCCAUCUGUUGAUACCUUCCAUAAUCUAGUGUCCUCCAUCGGUCUAGUGUAAAGGGGAAUGGAUGUCACAGCUGCAGCCACUUGGGGGUCAAAAAUUGAAUGCACCAGAUUAUAAUUCCAUGACAGCAGAUCCAGAUUCAUGAGCUGAUUGACUGUGAGCUCUUCAAGGUUAGGAGGCGGCGGUGUUGAAGGUUUGUGCGAGGGGAGAUUGCGAAUCCAAGGCAUUGACCACACAUUUAUUUUUGAGCCAUUACCAAUCUUCCAUCUAUAGCCCAACGUAAGUAAUGAUUGGGUACUCCAAAGACUCCUCCAUGUAUAGCUUGGAUUAUGACCAAGAGGUGCUUCCAAGAAAUCCCGUCGAGGGAAAUAUUUGGCUUUGAGGACACGAGUAAGUAAGGAAUUUGAGUCUGUCAUGAGUUUCCAACUUUGCUUACCGAGCAUAGAAAGAUUGAAUGCUUCCAAAUUGCGAAAACCAAGGCCACCAAGACUUUUGUGCAAAGUGAGUUUCUCCCAUCUCAUCCAAUUUAUACCCCGACGGCCAUUCUUUUUCGAACCCCAGUAAAAAGAGUUCAUCAUCCUUUCUAAUUCCUCACACAAAGAACCAGGAAUAAGAAAGGCCCCCAUACAAUAAGAUGGAAUAGCCUGAGCGACUGAUUUAAUUAAAAUUUCCUUACCAGCUCGAGAUAGAGAACGAGCAUUCCAGGAUUGACACUUCUUCCAUAUGCGGUCCUUCAAGUAAGAGAAAAUUGCCUUUUUGUUCCUUCCCACCAUAGAGGGGAGUCCUAAGUACUUGCCGCUUCCAAUAGAACCAUAGACUCCAAGAAUAUUAGUAAUGGUGGAGAUUAGAUCAUGUUGAGUGUUGGUACUAAAAGCAAUAGCAGAUUUGUUGUAGUUUAUUGCUUGGCCUGAAGCGUGUUCAUAAUGAAGGAGGAUUUCCUUGAGUGCUUGAGUCUCUGAUGUGGUGGCCUGGCAGAAUAAGAAGCUGUCAUCAGCGAAGAGAAGGUGACUGAUAGGUGGUGCUGAUCGACAAAUGCGUGUGCCAUGUAAUUUCCCUCUAAGCUCGUGAUUCUUUAUAGUGGCAGAGAGGCCUUCAGCACAUAAGAUGUAAAGAUAAGGCGAGAGGGGGCAGCCUUGUCUAAGGCCUCUUCCUGGUGUGAUGGGUCCAAUACGAUCCCCAUUAAAUAUAACAUGAUAUUCAACAGAUGUGAUACACAUCAUCAUCCAAGUUACCCAUUGAGAACAAAAACCCAACUUUUCAAGAAUAACUUGAAGAUAAGACCAGCUGACACUGUCAAAUGCUUUGGAUAUAUCAAGUUUCAAAGCAACCUCACCUUUUUUUCCUUUUGAUUUACAACGCAUAUGGUGCAAGAUCUCGAAAGCAGUCAAUGCGUUAUCCGUGAUGGAACGAGAGUGAAUAAAAGCCGCCUGUUCUAAAGAUAUCUAUUUACUAAUCAACGGACGAAGACGGUUGGCAAGGACCUUCGAGAUAAUUUUGUAUAAGAUAUUACACAGUGAUAUAGGACGAAGAUCCUUUAUAGUUUCAGGGCAGUCUCCUUUCAGAAUUAAAACAAUAUUUGUUUCAUUAAGACCGGGAGGUAUGUGACCAGAACUGAGCCAAUUUGAUGCUGCCAGAAAUAGUUCGCCACCAAUAUCUUCCCAGAAUCGAUGGUAAAAUGCUGGAUUUAGACCAUCCGGACCCGGAGAUUUAUCCGGGUGCAUACUAAAAAUCACCUCUUUAAAUUCUUGCUCCGAAAAAGGUUGGAUGAGAAGUGCAUUAUCAUCAUCUGAUACUUUAUCUUGGACGCAUGAUGUGAUAGGGAGAGGAUCACUGUGACGCGCCAUGAAUAUAUCUGUGAAGUAAUCAUGGAUGAGAGAACAAAGAUCAUCGUGGGAGGUGAUCCAGUUACCUGAACUGUCACGUAAUUUUUUAAUAUUGUUACUUCUUUUCCUGGCUGAAGCUGAUGCGUGGAAGAAUUUGCUAUUUGUGUCGCCAUCGGACAGCCAAAAAACCUUUGACCGCUGCUUCCAGUAACUUUCUUCUUGGAGUAAAAGAGUAGCCAUGUUAUUUUGCAUAGAGAUCAAGUGAGGGUCACUUGCAUCAGCAUGAGAAUUGCGAAAAUCUUCAAUGGCUGACCUUUGCUUGUUGAUGAGAUGUCGAAAAUUAGGAACCAAAUUUUUACUCCAAGAUGCAAUAUCUUCCGAAAAAUGCCUGAGCUUAGCUAUAAUGUUCGAUGGAGGAUAGUGCUCCCAAUUAUCCUUUACAAUUUGAUCAAGUUCAGGCUCAAGUAACCAAGCGUUGUUAAAGCGGAAACAACGGUAAGGUUUGCGCCAUGGUAAUGGAUCAAGUUGAAGCAAAAGAGGCGUGUGGUCUGAAAUUGGAGCAACCAAUGUUUGCAGCGUUGCAUUCGGAUAAAGUGUCUGCCAGGAGGACGUGACAAGGGCUCUAUCAAGACGGGCUUCUUUCGAGGAUUCGGUUCCAAUACUUUUGAACCAAGUGAAUUGGUAACCAAUCAAAGGUAUAUCAAGUAAAUUACAGUCAUUCACAACAUCUUGGAAGCCACGUAUAAGCCAUGGAGGACGUUCAGGGCCUCCUCUUUUAUCUGAGGUCGAGAGGUGAUCAUUGAAGUCCCCAAUUAUGCACCAGGGAUCGUCUGAGAGGGUGCUUAAGGAGCGAAGCAAAUCCCAGGAUUCUCUGCGUCUGCCUGAGUCAGAAUAACCGUAGAAAGCUGUUAGCCUCCAAUUACCGACUGAUUGAUCUUUGAUUUUUAGAUUAAUGAAGUUUUGGGAGAAAUUAAUUAAAGAACAAUCAACAGAAAUGCGCCAGAGCACAGCAAUACCGCCGCUUCUGCCAGUUCUAUCAACUGUAAAGUGGUUUUCGAAGCCAAUAGAAUAGCACAAAUCAGAAAUUUUAUUAUCGUUGACCAAGGUUUCAAUAAGGAUAACAAUGUCCGGUUUAUAGACUCGGACUAAGUCUUUCAUAACAGGAACUGCCUUAACAUUUCCCAGGCCUCGACAGUUCCAAGAUAAAACAUUCAUUGUGCCCGGCAGGCCUGGGAGCCAGGCUCUGCCACUAAAAAAUGAGUCACUGAUUGUGAGACCUCCAUGGGUGAUGCACUGUUGUCUGGGACCUUGUUGAGACUGUGUGAGUUUUCUUCUGCAACUUCAUUAAUUGCAUUUGCUGAUGAGGAAGCAUUCUGAGAAAUUGCGACAGUAAUGUCAUGAUUUAUGACAGCGUUAUCAGUUGAUUCCCUUGACCGUUUUGCUUUAUUAUUGAUAAUAACGGACUCAUGAUUUUCCUCCUGCAGAAUCUCAUCAUUCUGGUUCGGUUUUGGUGCAUUAACACUGAGACGCGGCUGCAUUAAAUGAGGAUUGCGUAACAACUGCAGCAAUGAUUCAGGAUUGGCAGUUUUGGAUACAGUAUUGAUAGCAUUAACUCCUGUGUCUGUAACUGAAACUGUUGAUGAGGCACUGGUUGCUCCGCCCAUGACAGAGUUCCGGCGAGCACCACCACUAGUGUUCUUUUGACGAUCCGCUCGCAAUUCAGAGCUCCAUAAGCGUAUGCCGUCAUCAGCUUCAACGGAAUAAAGUUUUUCGCAAUAAUCUUCGAUAUGGCCUAAACAACCACAGUAGUAGCAGAAAUUACCAAGACGCUCGUAUUUGAAUUUGAUGAAACUGGAAUCACCUCCCUGCCGUUUGAUUUUUUUCUGGCGCUUCAGAGGCUUUGUGAUGUCGAUCAGAACUCUAAUUCUCAUAUAUGAUCUGAGAAAGUUAGAGUUGUUCUUGGCAUCGUAUUCUAGAAAUUCACCUAUGUAGUUAGCGAUUUCCUUUCCGGCAUUUUCUGUCAUUAGCCCUGUUGGGAUGUCGUGGACUUGUAUCCAAAAUGGAACAAAGUGGAGGGGGACUUGAUUUGGGCUGCCAUUCUCUGGGAUGAUGUUGAGGACUAGAAGGUGGUUGUCAAAAUACCAAGGGCCUUUUUUCAGUAUUCGUUGAAAGUCUAGGUGAUGAUUGAAUUGGAAGGUGUAUAGGCAUGGCUCAAUUUCCAGGAUUUUCAUGCCUUUAACAGGACUCCAGAAUGUUUCAAUCUUUUCCAUCAUCAUGUAGGAGCGGAUUGGCCUGUUCGUGUGGAAACGGCCAACAAGACAGAGGCGGGGAUCGUUGGUUUGUGUUGGGAUUUCUUCAAAUUGAAUGUCAAGUUCAUCCUCCUCAUCACUAAGGGAGAGGUGUUGUAAUGUGGUCAUUGUGAUUGGUGGUUGGUGAGUGGCAGGAGCAGAAAGGUUGCAAGGUGUGCUCCCCGAUUUUCGGAUAUCAAACCAUUGAUUGAUUUGAAUCGUCAAUCUUUGAACUCUCAAUUUUUAUUCGUGGGAAGGGAAAAAAUGAGUAAAAACCCUUAUCGAGACUUUGGAUUCGGGGGUUGGUUUCGAAUAGGGAAGGUGUUAAGCACCCUAAACGACUUCGGUACUCCGAAGGAACCGCUUACCUAGAUUAUCUUGUGCUAAAUUCAUUUGCUUACUUGAAAAAUUAUUACCUAAAAAUCUAUGUAAAAGAAUGGAGGGAGAAUAAGUAUGUUUUGGUUAUUUUUAUUUGAUUUGGAAGGACAAGUCCUCUACCUACGUACCCUUUUUUUGGGAAAGGGAUCAAAACCGACGUAGUUCCACUCAAGAAUUUCUUUGGUGGGUUAGAUUGAUUUUAAGAUUUUUUUUGAAAAUGGGUUUUAAGAAGAGAAAGAGGCCUCAAGGUAUGAGAUAAAGAAAACAAGUGAGGUUGAUUGAUUUUAAAAUUUAAAAAAAUGGUUGAAGUUGAAUUAAGAUUGAUUGAAAAUUUGAUUAAGAAAAUAAAGAGAAAAUGUUGCUAAGAAAAGUGAUUUUUUUGAAUUUGACAUAUUUAGUUUUUUUUUUGAUAAAAAGGUUUUUUUUUCUAAACUAACGGUGAGAACUAACGUAACGUCGUAAAAACUAACGGAAAGCGGUAAAUAAAAUGUGGUAGUGUCGGUGCAUGUGUCGGUGCUUGUGUUACCUACAUUAUUACAUCAAUUCCUAAAUACAACCCUAAGGCCUUUAUGCCAAAAUAAAGUGCAAGAAAUAAAAUUACAUCAAUUCCCUAUUUAUACACACUAAGUCAAUGACAAAAUAAAAUGAUGAGAAAAUUAAAUGUGCAUGCUUCCCUCUGUUCGAUGCGUCUCAGCUUCGUUUGCUUGUGGAUUCGAGUUCGAUUUCUUCUUACGGUUCGAUCUCGAUCCGGUCCGAUCUGUUGUUGUUUUUCACGAAUUUGACUCGGUUUCAGCUUCUUCUUGCUCCUUCUAUUUCGUUCGGUUUGGAUUUGAUUUGUGUUGUUCUUUUAUGAAUUUCUGGUGAAUUUGUGAUUGUUGAAAUCAAAACCGAAAAUGACGGGUGAUUUGUGAGAUGGAAUGGGUGAUGUGUUUAUGAAUUAUUUUGGUGUUGAAUGUUGUUGAGACUUUUUUUGGAUCUGGAAACUUUGAAUGUUCUUGAUGAUUUCUUGCUUUGAUCCGAAAAUGUGAGAAAGAAGAGGAAAUUAGGGUUUGUAUUGAUUGAGGGACUGAUUUGACUCUGACGCAGCUACAGUGAUUUUUCUGACCCUCUUCCCAAUGAUUAGACAGUGUAUUUAUAGUGACAAAAUAGGGUUGGCUCUGGUACAUAUCAAAGACCAAAAUACCCCUGUUGGAGACUUGGGGACAAAGACUUAACAAAUAACAAAUAAAAAUGAUAAGAAAAAAGAAAAGAAAGAAGAAAAAGAAGAAAAAAAAGAGGAAAUAAGAAAGAAAGUCACGUGAUUGACUUUCCUUUCUUUGUUUUUUUUUCAAAAAAAAUAAAAAAUAAAAAAAAUAAAAUAACAAAAAACAAAAAAAUAAAAAAUGACAAAUAAAAUAAAAAUAAAAUAUUAAUUAAUAAUAAUAAAAAAAAAAGUCCCUUCGAAAUCUGACAUGAGGUACUUCAAAGUAUCCUCCCUGCCGAAAUUUUGUCUGAAAUGAUUAAAAGGACGCGAUUUUUAAAAUAUGAUUAAACCUUUUAAAAUGACUUGAUUAUUAUGACUAACAAGACUAUAAAAUGCGCUCAAAACGUUAUAAAAAUGCAGAUAAAAGUUUUUAAAUGAUUAAAGAAGAAAAACACGAGUUUUAAAUGGUAAAAAAAACGAAUAGAAGAGAAUGUGGACUAUUUCAAAAUAUGGACAAAAAGAUUUUAAGUGGUCCAAAUUUGGGGUAUGACACAAGGGAACUUCUCACUAAGGAGAGAAUACUAAAGACUUCUCACAGAGGAGAGAAUAUUUUUUUUUUAGCAAACAGUUAGUUUACUAUUCAAUAUUUAUAAUCAUUAAUUAUAGUGGAAUUCUUUUCAAUGGCUCUGCCCGUGAAUUAGUCAGCACAUUGAUGGAUACCACGUUUAAUCUUGUGCCGUUUUCAUUAUGUCUUUUACUAUUAUAGUCAUUAUUCUCGCGUCCCGUUAUAACAAAUUGGUAUUAGAGCCCUAGUUAGGCUCGGUGGGGAGCAGAAGUGGGAUAUUGUUAGAAAUCAAGUGUAAGUGAUUAUGUCCCACAUCAACUAGAAAUGGAGAAAACGUUGGAUAUAUACGAGAGUGGGCCUAUAUACUUAAUGCCUUAAGGUUUUUGGUAAGAGUGUGGUGUCUCUCUCUUAACAGGUCCUAGACAUUUAUCACAUUGUCGCUUUCGUCGCUCUCCGAACUCCAUAACGAAAUGCACAAUCAAAGACUAUUUUGAAAUUUAAAUUCAUUGAAAAACUAUUGUCCUAUAUGAUAACCACGUAGGAAACCCCUCACUUUGCAAUCUUCCAAUUCACACCGCAAAUUGAGACUGUAAUUUUAUCAUCAAAUUUUCAAAUUAAUCCCGUCAUUUAUUAUUUUUUGAUGAAAAGUUAAUUUGUUAAUUCUUUUAUUUGAUAUACUAUCAUCACUUAAAAUAAGUAUCGACAAUGAUCUAUUAAUUUUGUCAAAAAAAAUAAAAUAGUGAUCUAUUAAUUUAUGAGACGGCUAAGGUCUUCUUUACUCUGGAUCAGAGAAUUAUUCCUCAAUCCUAACUAACCUGAGUAAUGUGGGACUACAAUUUAAUUUCAAUAUCCAACUGUUACCGUAUAUAUCAAGCAUGGUCACAUAAUUAGCUUAAUACCAAAGAAAACGCAAAUUAGUUUUGCUAGACGUGAGGUGGAUAUUAUGUUGUAUUGGAGUUGCGUAUUAUUUAGAUGUCUAUGCAAUUGGGUGUGUAAAUGUAUUUAGACACUCAUUCUUUGAGUAUGUUUUUAGGAUGAGAUCUUAGUUCAUUUAACUUUGAAUCUAAAAUCAUGCUAAACAUGCAUGCGAAUAUUACAGUUGUAUUGAAAUUUCACAUUAUUCAAUAUCAUUCUUUGUGCAUUGAUUUUUGCAAAAUCACUAAAAAUCUUUUUAUAAUAAAGUGUUUUACAUAAUCAUUUCCAUAUAAAUCAAUGCAAUACUAUUUAAUUUAUCUUAUGAAUUUGAGUGUUCAAUUAAAGAUAAAAAUACAAUUAAUAUAUUAUUAACUUUAAAUUUUAAAAAUGAACAUUAGAUAAUUCAUACACAGUUGAUGCUUACUCAUUCACCGGUAUGAAAUAUGACUUUUCAAAGUUCACAAAAACACCACUAAGACAAGUACCACACCAAUAUAUUUUGUAAAAAAACAAUUCUUCUUCUUCUUCUAAUAAAACAUGACUUUUGGAUUCAUACACAAUUGAUUAACCCUUAUUAAAGAUAACUCUUAUGAUCAUGCAUGUUAAUCACCAAAACCACCACCAACUACGUAUGUGUUUCGCAUCACUUUUUUAAGCUCAAAACGUGGGUUGCUUUUGCCAAACGUCGUUUCCCAAUUUCCUGUGUUGUUUGGAUGAAGGAAAAGCAGAUCUGUGAAACCACGUUUUAGAUCCAAAACGCCGGUUCUGCUAAAGCUGGAAUUCAAAGCUUCAGCGGCAGUGAAAAGUGAUUCACAGUUUUAACUUUUCAAUGACAAGUAUAGUUACCAAUAUACCCAUGUUUUCUUCUCCAAUUUCCCAUGAAUAAACAACAUCUUUCUUCUUCUUCCAUAAAAAAACAUAUUUCUUCUUCUUUAUUACUGCACAUCACUUGAAGUAGUAGACUCUUCUUCUUUCUUUUUUGCAUAUCUAUCCUAUUUUUUUUCUUCAGAUUUGUUCUUAAUUGGUGAGUGAUGGAGAAAUGGUAGAAUGAGAGACAAAUAGUGAGAUGAGGAAGGAGAAAGGCAACAAGAGUUGGUGCAGUGAGAGGUGGAGAAGAAGAUGGAAAUGGAUAGAAGAGUAUUGAAGCUUCUCGAGAAAUAGAAAGGGAGACGUGAUGAUCUCAAGAGUGACACAAAUUGGACUUUUUUAAUUUUUUUUUUACUAUUGGGUUUUGGGCUGUGUUGGAGUAUUUGAUAAUUUGGUUUUAAUUAAAAGGAUAAUUUGGUCAUUGUACAUUCAAAAUCAAUUUUGAUUCAAACUAUCCAAACAAAUCAACUCAUAAAAAUCACUUUUAAAAAAGUGUAUCCAAAUAUAAAUCAAUUUACAUCAAACUCACUUUUAACCAAAAUCAAUUAUAUCAAACUCAAUUCUAUCAAAUCAAUUCUUCCCGCCGCCAUACCAAACACACACUACAUGCAUGGCAACUAUCAUACCAAUAUAUCUUGUAAAGAAUUCAUUCUUCAUGUAUUAAACAAGAUUUUUAAAGUCAUGCAUAUCAUGUGAGAAUAAAUAUUAUAAAUAUGUUAAAAAUAGAAAGUGAUCGUAAAUUCUAACAUAUAUUAUAUUUGUAUUAUGUAUCUAUAUAUCAAAUAAUAGAGUUUUUUUAAUUAUCGCAUAAAAAAUGUCAUUAUUUUUUAAACAAAUUAUAAUUUUCAUGAGAUAUGACUUUGAACUUAAUGGGCAACACCAUCAACAUUAAUUAUUUCCUUAGUCUCUCAAUUCAUUCCAUCUAUUCUUUUGCAUUUUCUCAUUUUCUUUAGAUUUCUUUCUUAUUUUCACAAACAUACAUAAAAAGACACGUUAUCGAACACAUUAGUAAUUUAUUACUGAGCUGUGCUAUUGAGCACGACAAAAAUCCAGGCACGACACGCACGACUAGUUAUGUGGCACAAUCCUCUUUGUUUAAAUUAAAUUUUAAUUAAAAUAAAUUUUAAAAACUGAAAUAGCGGAAGGUAGAAUACACGAUCGUGUGUAUUUUGACGACAACCAUGUGUCGUGCAAUAUACCAUUUUCCUUUAUUAAUACUUAAAAAAUUGGUAUCUCUAUAACUUUGUCAAGAUAGUGUUACAAAAAGUUGGUGCCACUCUAAAUAUUUUGAGUUCUUUGAUAUUUUCGAUUUCGAUUAUUUUGUUGUGACAUUUGGUCUGACGUGAUAUACAAUCACUUAAAACCACAAUUUAUUCACCACUCAAGAAAAUCAGUGUUCCGAUACGACGGGAGACCGUUGCAAAUAUGACCACCAUCUUUUUGAACUAAAAAAAUGGAUCAGAGGCUUUGAUGAACCUUGUGCGCAAAGGAAGAAAAUAUUCAGAAGACUUUUGAUUUAAUUUUUUAUUAAAAGAUUAAACCAACACAGCCGGUUGACAGUUUUAUUUGCUUUUCAUGAUGUUUAUAUGGACCAAAAGUUGAGAAAGUAUCUAAAAGUGUUUGUUAGAGUACCUGUCCUUAGUAGUCACUUGUAAUAAAAUGACAUAUACACGCACACGCUACAUUGUUAUAAAAGUGUUUGUUAGAGUGACUGUCCUUAGUAGUCCUUUGUAAUAAAAUAACAUAUACACGCAGUCACUACUGUGUUAGUAAUUUUGUAUGUGUUGUUAGUCAUUUGCAAUAAAUUACAUACAAAAUUUUUUUUGCUUAUAAUUUACAAUUUUAAAUAUUUUACCAUUUAGUUGAAAUAUUUUUUUUAUUUGUACAAUACUCACAAUGUGUUGAUUUUGUUAAAGGAGUUUAAAUUUUAUACUAAAAGCUAGAUUAAAGGAUGAGAUUGCCUAAUCACAUUUAUAUAUCUAACAACUUAAGAAUUUGGUAACGUAAGACUCCAAUAAACCUUCAGGGUGCGUUUGAUGGUCAGGAUAGAAAAGAUAUAUCAUAUCAUAUUAUAAUCCUUUGUUUGAUACAUCAAUAAAAUAUGAUAAGUUAUUCCUUUUAUUUAUCCUAUUUUAUCCUAUCACUCCUUUGUAAUUUCUAUCUAAGUUUAUGUAGGGUUAUAAUUAUCCUAUCAAAUAGAAAAUCCUAAUUUUACCGUCACCUUUGUCUUCUCUCUAAUUCGUCCAUGCUUUCCACUCAUCUUCUUCCUCUUGUUCAUGCCAUCAUCAUGUAUGUUAUAUUGUAAAUUUUAUCAAUUCCUCUUCUCUUAUUAUCGUACAGAUUGCUUUUGUUCUUGUUCUUAUUCAAUUUUUUCUUUAUUGAUUUCAAUUUUUCAUCAAUCGAUUUUUCCUCCUUAUUUUAUUGAAUUCCUUUUUUUGUCCGAUUUCUCUUAUAUUUAUUUCAUUUCGAUUUCUCAUCCUUUUUCAAUUCUUUUUGUGUUGAAUUCCUCUGUUUCCAUCGCUCUUCCUUUCCUCUGUGUGUCGAUUUUUUUACAGAUUCCUUUCUCUUUUUUAUUUUUUUAUUUUAUAGAUUUCAAUUUUUUCCUUCUUUUCUCUUGUAAAAAAAUUAAAAAAUUUAUUUUCUUUGAUGUUCAUGUGCAAUACGAAAAUCCGUUAAAAUAAUAUAAUUGAUUAAAAGGGUAAUUUUGUCAUUUAAUAUGAUAAAGAAAAUGUUAUCCAUAUUGUUAUCAUGUCCACAUCAAACAUAUGAUAGGAUAAAUUUAUCAUGUACAUAUCAUAUCCUGCCUCUAUCCAGUUUUAUAUCAUAUUCUGUCUUUAUCCUAUUCUGACCAUCAAACACACCCUAAAUACCUAACUCUCACGUCUAGUGUGCCUCCCAAAUCCAAUUCUAAUACGGUAAUCAUGAACACAACCCGGAUAUCGCGUACCGGAGAAUUGCAAACUAGGUGACAUUUUGAAGUACUAUAUCAAGGUUAAAUCGUAAACUCUAAUCAAUAAUGUUAGUCAUAUAAAAAUAAUAUAAAGAUAAGUGAAAAUCACUUAUUUGUUGAAGUCAUAAUCAAGGUUAUUACUGGACUCGCGGAGAUGUGAGAUUGAAUCUCCCUUUUUCUAAUCACGUGCUCGAGGAUUUGAAUUCUCAAUGAAGUUAACCGCAAAGGAGCUAAUCGUUAGAAUGAUGGCAAAGGAGAUCAAACCUCUCUAUUUACACUUUUGUUUUCUUUAUAAAAGGGACCGAAACGAGUAACUAUUUUUUCCCUCAAGAACUAAAAAAACGAGCAAUUCAGUUUUUGGGCUCCAAAAGUUAGUGGCUACGUAAUGACAAAUAAGAGGGGAAGAAUGGUGGAAAGUGGGUGAUACUCCAGAAGGAUUGUAUGCUUGGAAUGAAAGCACGUUUUAUGUGUAGUGUAAAUUGUAUUCUAUGGAAUAGUAUUAUAAUUAAGACCACUGUGUUGUCCUGUUUCAUGACCAUGUAACUUACUUUGUGGCUCUCACAAUGUUACAUAGUUUUAUUUUAGGUGAGAUACGGACAUAAUACGCCUACCCUUCUUGACUUAUAUAUUACGGACAAAUAUUGUUUUGUUUAUUCUCACUCCAAAGGUUAAAAAUGUGUCAUCCUAAGGUUUUAACUUAAUAUUUUUUGAGUUAAAAAAAUUCUUAGUCAAACUAUAUUUAUCUUUGUGGCGCCGUUUAGCGUACGCAGACUUAAUAGGUCAUGUAUGGUGUGAGACUUGAUAUUGCCUUUUUUUUUUUGUUGAAUAAUGUGAUAUACGCUUUACAUACGGUUAAGUAGAACACUAGGUGGAACGGCGCCACAAAUUAAUCUCUAUAUUAAUAUUAUAUUAUUUGUUGUAUUAAAAAAGAUAGAGAUUUACAUAUUUGUUAAAUUAUUGUUGUUAUUGAAAAAUAUAAACACGGUUUUUUUGGGUUUCUUUCGAUUUGAAAGUCACAAAUAUUUGUACUUAUAGUUUUAGUCAAAAUCAAAAUUUCAUAUAAAAUACCAUUCAUAAUUUACACGUGUUAGCGCAAUAAAAGGAGCAAAAAGACGGACACGUAAGUGUCUGUCUUUUCGCUGGCAAAAUAUAAGGACAAUUAUCAAUAACAAUUUUAAAAUUCAGUCUUGUAAUUUUUUCAUUAUAUACGGUGUAAAUCCAUCUGUUUCAAAGGCUUUCCGCAACAUCCAAAGGCCAUAAUUCUACUAUGUUUUUCAACAGUAGUAUUUUUGUUCAUUGAUUAAAUCACCCUUUUUAAAUGAAACUAUAAAUUCCAUAAUGUUUAUCAACAAUACAAAUUUUAACAUGUCAACUUGUGGGACCUUUUAGAUCCAUCCCUACCGUUUGCUUAUAAAAGUAAAUCCAAUGGUACCUAAACAACUUGCAACAAAGAAAAAAUUAAGAGAUCUUGCACGGUGAGAGACCUAUAAUGGUCUCCUACCGUAGCCACAACCGUAGUACCAUUAAACUCUGGAUUAUGAUAGCCCAUCUCUUUUGUAAUUCUUCCACUAUUUUGAUUUUAGAGCUUUUUUUUUAUGUUAGAACCGUUCUAAAGCAUAAUAAGAACGAAAUGUUUCAAGACAUGAUUUAUUCCAAGAUGAUUAGAAUAAGAGAAAAUGGAAACAGAUUAUAUAAAUCUCAUCAAACAAGUGCAUGUAUGCUAAUGCUGUCAAUGACUAUGAAAUGACUCAUCCAUGACCCAUGUUUAUCUCAAAAUAAGAAAGGAACACCCAAAAAUAGUAAUCACUAAGGCCUUUUUAAUUGAAUUAGUUUUGAAAAGAUUUAUUUUCUUAUUUUAGAAAAAUCUAUAGAGAAAUUUUCUCUAUAGAAUUCUUCAUUGGAUGCAUAUGAGAUAAUUAAGAGUUUUUUAUUUAUUUUUAAAAGCAAUAGUUAAAGAGUUGUUUUUUUUUAUUUAAUUGAUUGUUUCUUUUUAUUUGAAAAAUAUUCAAUUUUAAAUAAAAGUUAGCAACAAACAUCUAAUUAUGAGAUAAUUAGAAUGAGUUUUUAUUUUGGUGCUUCUAAUUUUAGUAGUUGAUUAAAAAAAAAAUCAGCAGUAAUUUUGGUAAUAGUACAAUAUGAACGUGAAUAUGCAAAAGUAAUGAGCAACCAAUAGAAAAAAAGAAUUAGAAAAGCAACCAAUAAAAUAUUGUAAAGAAUAUCCCAUUCCCAUUGGUGUAUUCCUUCCAUGUGCCACUAAAUUCAAGAGGAUCCAAAACAUCCACAUCCCUUUUAUAACCCUACACGCUUUCUCUCAAAUGAUUCUCAUUACUUCUAGUCUCUCUAUAUAAACCACAUUGAUAUAGUUCUACUAUUACAACCAUCAUUCACAACAAAGAAAAUCUCAACAAAAAAAAGGAAAUAUUUUUUGCUCAUUUUAUUAGAGUGACUAAAAUAAAAUGGCAGCCAUGGUAGAGGUAUGGAUUGGAGAGCUAGCCAAGCUCAAAGAGAAAGUUCUAACCAACAAAACCAAAAUUUCUAAAUCCAAAAAUGGUUUAGAAGAAGAGAAGGAAGUGGGAAGAGAAGCUCAAAAGGAGGUCAUAGGUGCUCAAAGAGACACUACAACCUUGUCUGAGUCAACAAUAUGUUUGCUUAUGGAUAGAUUUGUGCCUUGCUAAAAUAUGUUGUUUAUUCAACUAUAUCAAUGUGAUUUGGUUCCUAGAUAAGAAAAUUUGUAAUGAAAUGUUAUAUAUGUUGUGUUAGUAUAAUGUAAUUAGUUGUUUAAUUGUUCUUGGAUGGUUUGAUUACAAUUAUUAAAGCAAUAAACCAUUUAGUUGAAAUAAUUUGUGCAUAUCUUUUCAAACUUUUGGGUUAUUAAUAUUUGCUCCUAUAAUGUUAGCUUUAUGAACGAACUUUUUUGAGAUGGUUUUGCAGGAAAAUAUCUACGACUUCUCUUUCUCUCUCUUAAUUUUUCUUUCCUUUUCUUAUAUCUCCUAUUUCAACCUUGGCUCAAGUUCAAUCCACUUAUGGACUUGCUCACUAGGGAGUAUGCUAUGAGAUUCCCCAGGGGAGCACCCAAGAGAAUCCGGUAAUGGUGAUCAAAUGUUGAUAUGCAAAUAACGUCGAGGACAGUCUAACAAAAUCAAUGAUUCCGACAGGAAAAUUCUACAGUCUUCCUUAUAAUUAAGGACAGAUGAUCGUUAAAGGGACACAUUCUCUAAACCCUAAAAACUUCACCCCCUUUGAUCACUGACUAACUUGAUUAUUGUAGUGUUUGCAAGUAUACAAUCCUUUAUGAAGAGCUAUCGUCGUCCUUUCUUCCACCACUCUGGCUUUCGAUUUAGGUCCACUCCGGCUUUUGAUUUAGGUCCUUUCUUCCUUAUUCAAUCUUAAUAAAAUGAAGUUUUUAAUGAACAUUAUUUUUAUGUAUCGUUUUGAACACCUACAAUCAACUAUAUAUCGAGCAAUGAGUCUCCAAAGAAGUAGCUUAGGUUGUGACACCGAAGAAGUUAUAUGUAGGAAGUUCAUAUUUAAAUUGCUUUCUACGAACAUUUCUUGCCUUUAAAAAAAACUUCUAGUAAAAAAAAUAACAUGAAAAGUUUUGAACAAAGUUUUAAGUCCAACAAAAAUGGUUAUUGAAACUUUUUCCAUCUUCAAGACAUGUAAUUAGUGACAUUAAAAAGUGUUUAUAAUACUCCUGUAAUUUAAGUUUACAUGCAUUGAAAAGUGUUUAUAAUAUUCCUGAAUUAUAAGGUUAUUAUGAUUUCCAACGCGGUUUAUUGACACAUUAUAUGCCCCAUUUUACACGUUAAGGUCAAACUAGAUGAUGACUGAAAUAAUUAGAGAAGUAAAAUAAUUAUUAAUUAGGAUAAGUGUUAAAAUUGACUAAGUUGAUG